GACGAACGCUGGCGGCGUGCUUAACACAUGCAAGUCGAGCGGUAAGGCCCUUUCGGGGGUACACGAGCGGCGAACGGGUGAGUAACACGUGAGUGACCUGCCCUCAGCUCUGGGAUAAGCCUGGGAAACCGGGUCUAAUACUGGAUAUGACUCCAUGACGCAUGUUGUGGGGUGGAAAGCCUUGUGCGGCUGAGGAUGGGCCCGCGGCCUAUCAGCUUGUUGGUGGGGGAUGGCCUACCAAGGCGACGACGGGUAGCCGGCCUGAGAGGGCGACCGGGCCACACUGGGACUGAGACACGGCCCAGACUCCUACGGGAGGCAGCAGUGGGGAAUCUUGCGCAAUGGGCGAAAGCCUGACGCAGCGACGCCGCGUGGGGAUGACGGCCU
rnacentral:rRNA from 1 species